AGAGAACUUACUCAAAGAGAAUUUUUCACUACGGGAAAAGAUGGAACAAUCACAGUAAAGCAGAAGCCACAGGGCCUGGGUUAUUGUCUUACCAUAAACCGAAGGGUUACAGGCACGCAGAUAACAGAAAUGUGAGGCAAAAGAGCAAGAAAGAGGUAAGAGUAGAAGUGAAAUUUCAUCGUACUUAGGGCAGCUGUAACUAACAUGUGCCACAACGUUUUAGUUUUUGUUCUUUUCUUUACUUGACUGAGAUUUCACAUUUGAUUAUUUCAUGUAAAUUAGAGCGUGAUGGUGGCAGACUGAAAAACUUUUUAAUCAAAUAUAUUUAUUAAUUAAACAAAAUAAUAAUGCCCCAAAAAGCAUGUUAGUGUAAUUGUACCCAUUCUAAGAAUGCAGGAUCAAGUGAGAGAAAUCUGAUUAAAACACAUUUUCUUUUCUUUAGUUUUUGGUAUUCUGUUUCUCCAGUUGCUAAUCAGCAAGAAUAUCUUUGUCCUACUGAACUGAGGCAUUUGUUCAAAAGCCUUUGCGCUCUUUGGCAUAAGAGCCUAACUUAUUAAAGACAAAGUUCUCCUAGGUCUCUGCUAACAAAUAGUGAAAUAAAUAUUUUUAUAAACAUAUUAUCUCAAAGUAUUAAUGCUGGAAGAGACCUACAGGACCAAAGACAGCUCCCUCCCUUUACAGAGAGAAAAAGGUUGAAACAGCAAUGAUUCUGAAAAAUUUCCUUGUGUUUUCAUAACUAAUAUUUUCAUCAUAAAGCUCACGACAUGCACUUGUUUUUAUUUGCAUGCCUGAAUUUUGGUGGCUCUGAACCAUAUAUGAUGGCUCUGAGGACAAACCAUGUUUGUUUCCCGCCCUGCAAUUUUGGCAGUGUGCCGUGUACUUCCUUGGUACUGAGUAAUCAUUUUUCAACUACCUAAAAGUCUCUCUUUUGAUGAGAAGAAGAAUAAACCUCAUUCUUGUUCAGAUGUAGAGAUCAAGGAAAAGACUUCUGUCUUAUUGGCUUCAGAUAUGUUAUCAGCACCUAAAGAAUGGAAAGCUGCACUAAAGGAGGUUUCCCUUGGGAAGAGAGAGAGAGACAGAACAUGAACAGAGGAGGGGCAGAGAGAGAGGGAGACACAGAAUCCAAAAC